UUGAACGCUGGCGGCAUGCCUUACACAUGCAAGUCGAACGGUAACAGGUCUUCGGAUGCUGACGAGUGGCGAACGGGUGAGUAAUACAUCGGAACGUGCCCAAUCGUGGGGGAUAGCUCGGCGAAAGCCGGAUUAAUACCGCAUACGAUCUACGGAUGAAAGCAGGGGACUCGCAAGGGCCUUGCGCGAAUGGAGCGGCCGAUGGCAGAUUAGGUAGUUGGUGGGGUAAAGGCUCACCAAGCCGACGAUCUGUAGCUGGUCUGAGAGGACGACCAGCCACACUGGGACUGAGACACGGCCCAGACUCCUACGGGAGGCAGCAGUGGGGAAUUUUGGACAAUGGGCGCAAGCCUGAUCCAGCAAUGCCGCGUGCAGGAUGAAGGCCUUCGGGUUGUAAACUGCUUUUGUACGGAACGAAAAAGCUCUGGUUAAUACCUGGGGCCCAUGACGGUACCGUAAGAAUAAGCACCGGCUAACUACGU
rnacentral:rRNA from 1 species